AGAGUGAACGCUGGCGGUAGGCCUAACACAUGCAAGUCGAACGGCAGCACGGUAAGAGCUUGCUCUUAUGGGUGGCGAGUGGCGGACGGGUGAGGAAUACAUCGGAAUCUACCUUUUGGUGGGGGAUAACGUAGGGAAACUUACGCUAAUACCGCAUACGCCCUUCGGGGGAAAGCCGGGGACCAGCAAUGGCCUGGUGCUGAUAGAUGAGCCGAUGUCGGAUUAGCUAGUUGGUGAGGUAAUGGCUCACCAAGGCGACGAUCCGUAGCUGGUCUGAGAGGAUGAUCAGCCACACUGGAACUGACGACACGGUACCGACUACCGU
rnacentral:rRNA from 1 species